rnacentral:rRNA from 1 species
GCAAGUCGAGCGGAAAGGCCACUUCGGUGGUACUCGAGCGGCGAACGGGUGAGUAACACGUGAGUAAUCUGCCCCUGGCUUUGGGAUAGCCACCGGAAACGGUGAUUAAUACCGGAUAUGACAGCUUCUCGCAUGAGAUGGUUGUGGAAAGUUUUUCGGCCAGGGAUGUGCUCGCGGCCUAUCAGCUUGAUGGUGAGGUAAUGGCUCACCAUGGCUUCGACGGGUAGCCGGCCUGAGAGGGUGACC